CCUACGGGAGGCAGCAGUGGGGAAUUUUGGACAAUGGGCGCAAGCCUGAUCCAGCAAUGCCGCGUGCAGGAUGAAGGCCUUCGGGUUGUAAACUGCUUUUGUACGGAGCGAAACGGUCUCUUCUAAUACAGGGGGCUAAUGACGGUACCGUAAGAAUAAGCACCGGCUAACUACGUGCCAGCAGCCGCGGUAAUACGUAGGGUGCAAGCGUUAAUCGGAAUUACUGGGCGUAAAGCGUGCGCAGGCGGUUUUGUAAGACAGAUGUGAAAUCCCCGGGCUCAACCUGGGACCUGCAUUUGUGACUGCAAGGCUGGAGUACGGUAGAGGGGGAUGGAAUUCCGCGUGUAGCAGUGAAAUGCGUAGAUAUGCGGAGGAACACCGAUGGCGAAGGCAAUCCCCUGGACCUGUACUGACGCUCAUGCACGAAAGCGUGGGGAGCAAACAGGAUUAGAUACCCUGGUAGUCCACGCCCUAAACCGAUGUCAACUGGUUGUUGGGUCUUUACUGACUCAGUAACGAAGCUAACGCGUGAAGUUGACCGCCUGGGGAGUACGGCCGCAAGGUUGAAACUCAAAUGAAUUGAGG
rnacentral:rRNA from 1 species